rnacentral:rRNA from 1 species
GUGAGGAAUUUUCCGCAAUGGGCGAAAGCCUGACGGAGCAAUGCCGCGUGAAGGAUGAAGGCCUAUGGGUUGUAAACUUCUUUUCUUAGAGAAGAAUAUUGACGGUAUCUGAGGAAUAAGCAUCGGCUAACUCUGUGCCAGCAGCCGCGGUAAUACGUAGGUGGCAAGCGUUGUCCGGAAUUAUUGGGCGUAAAGAGCAUGUAGGCGGGAAUCUAAGUCUGUUGUUAAAAUGCGGGGCUCAACCCCGUAUUGCGAUGGAAACUGGGUUUCUUGAGUGCAGGAGAGGAAAGGGGAAUUCCCAGUGUAGCGGUGAAAUGCGUAGAUAUUGGGAGGAACACCAGUGGCGAAGGCGCCUUUCUGGACUGUGUCUGACGCUGAGAUGCGAAAGCCAGGGUAGCGAACGGGAUUAGAAACCCUUGUAGUCC